CCACACAUCAACCUUACCUUUGAAACCUAAUAGCUUCCUGUUGAUGUUCAUGUUAUAGAAAAGGCAAAAGUUAUUGAUUAAUCUGCCUUUUUAAAAAACUUGUGCUUAAGUGCAUUUUCAUGAUCCAAAAUGAAAGAUGAUAGAAUUACAGCAUCUAUACGGAGUGUUCAUUCUAUGAAAGGCACUAUUCUAAGUUGUUUAUGUUAAUUUUUCUAACAAAAAGCAUACUUCUAAUUUAGUGGAGGUAUUUACAUGCACAGAUUGUUUUAGAAAAGUCAAGAUCUAACACAGAGCGUAGCAUGUACGGAUAAAGUGAAUGAAUGAGCUAGGGAGGGAUGGAGUACGAAGAUAAGGAGCUAUUUAAAAUAGACAAAACAUUGAGAGAACCUGUAACUGAAUGAAGAACUUGUUGACUUAAAAAACAUAUUCAAAGGUGUUGUUCUCAAACUCAGAUCUAUCACAACAAACCUGCUAACUAAAAAAAAAAAAAAAAAAAGCAUAGGCCGGGCGCAGUGGCUCACGCCUGUAAUCCCAGCACUUUGGGAGGCUGAGGUGGGUGGAUCACCUAAGGUGGGGUGUUUUAGACCAACCUGAUCAACAUGAAGAAACCCCAUCUCUACUAAAAACACAAAAUUAGCCGGGCUUGGUGGCACACGCCUGUAAUCUCAGCUACUCGGGAGACUGAGGCAGGAGAAUCACUUGAACCUGGGAGGCAGAGGUUGCCGUGAGCCAAGAUGGCGCCACUGCACUCCAGCCUGGGCAACAAGAGCAAAACUCUGUCUUGGAAAAAAAAAAGAGUAAAAGAAAAAAAGUUAUGUAAGCCUACAACUUAUUCAUCAGUCAUAACUUU
rnacentral:lncRNA from 1 species